rnacentral:tRNA from 1 species
GCUUUAGUAGUUCAGAGUAGAACGUCGGUCUUGUAAACCGAAUGUCGAGGGUUAAACUCCCCCCUAACGCU